GAAUUUUUUUUUAUAAAAUGGGCAGUAAAGCUCAGUACCGGAAUCCUGGGAUAGAUGUAUCCAGGGUGGGGAUUGUUUUUUCAGUAUUUUCCCCUGAAAUACUCACUCUUAGGUGUCCGUAUCUUUCUCAUUGCUAUAGGUUUAAUAAGGAAUGUUGUAAGCAGUACUAAAACACUUAUAGGAGUAUAAAGUUCUUUGAAGUAGAAUAAGUAUGAGGAAAAAACUUUACUCUUUCUAAUUUUAAAAUGUGAUUUAUUAAUAUUUUUGACAUGUACCUUUUAAUUAUUUAUAUUUUUACUCUUUGGCUUAAUUCUACACAAAAAAAAAAAAAAAAAAAUCAGGUAAAUAGAAGCUCUUAGCAGCGGCCAGAAACAAGUCCUGAGAAAUCAUAGCUAUAGAAACUAGAAACAACUGUGUUAAUUUUUCAGAGACAAUGUAAACGGGAGGAUUUCUCCAGAGAGCAUGAGCUAUACUUUGUGCCAGGUACAGUGGUGCAUACCUUUUUUGGGGGGUUGGAGGGAGCUUGACUUUACCAUUGCCUUUGGGCAUGACGGUUCUAUUUCCUCUACAAAACCUAGGAGAUAGAAAAUUGUGGUCCCUGACUGAUACCUGCUUAGGGCUAGCAAGGCACUCACAGGUGGACCUUGGUGUUCUGUUUGUUGGACAUAAAAAUUUCUCGGUACAGUAACAUCAAACAAGGUCACUCUGCUACCAUGAGAAAGCAAGA
rnacentral:lncRNA from 10 species